GUGUCCGGCCUUUGCAGUAUGGCCACUAGUGGUUCUCUGCUCUCUGCUUGACCUUAGUCAUGGGAGGCACCAGUGCAAGAUUGGCUCACCGGUGGCAGGUAGGAGUGGGUCAGGUUGGUCAUCCCUUGGCUCCUUCCCUGCAGGCUCUCUGGUGGUGGGGGGGCAGGGAUUGGAGGGGUGGGAUUGCUUUUUUUUACAAGGCCCAGGUGCUUGCAGUUGGCCUCCUGUGGAGAGCUGGCGUGUCUGGGUCAUCGUACUCCCUCCUUCCCCUUGUCCCCUUAGGAUCAUGGCUACAACAGUUCCCUACUGAAGAGGAGACCUCAACCCCUGUCUGGAUUGUUACACCUGCCUUCACCUCUGCAGACAGCGUGGUUGUUAAACCCUAUUCUCCACGCACUUCCCUUGGUGUGUUAAAUGCUUCACGCAUUGCAGAUGUUGACCAAGAAGACACUACAAAUGUUUCCUAGUAGCCUUCUAAUUUAGCUCUCAAGUUAUGAGAUUACUUUAGGAAAAGAAAUCUGAGAUUUGAUUUCCACAAGAAGUCACCGUUCCCAGAGCAUAUG
rnacentral:lncRNA from 1 species